GGGCUGUUUACUGCUCUUUGGUCGGGUUGCCCUGUGUCUGUUUGACACAUUCCCUGUUUGUAUUCUCUAUCCAAACCAUGCAUGGAUUUUUCUCAUUGUUGAAGGCCGCUCACAUCCAAUUCAUUUGAACCUGGAUGGAUAGUUCUCAUUGGUAUUCAUACCACAUCUUUUUAUUUGUGUAAUGUUGAGCUUUUGGCAAUUUUAUCUUCACUUUUUGUUU
rnacentral:lncRNA from 1 species